AGUAGUUUGAUCAGUGGCUCGAGGACGAACGCUGGCGGCGUGCCUAACACAUGCAAGUCGAGCGGAGACACUCAGAGAGCUUGCUCUUUGGAUGUUUCAGCGGCGGACGGGUGAGUAACGCGUGAGCAACCUGCCUUUAACAGGGGGAUAACGCAUCGAAAGAUGUGCUAAUACCGCAUAAGACCACAAUACUACAUGGUAAAGGGGUCAAAGGAGUAAUCCGGUUAAAGAUGGGCUCGCGUCCGAUUAGCUAGUUGGUGAGAUAACAGCCCACCAAGGCGACGAUCGGUAGCCGACCUGAGAGGGUGAUCGGCCACAUUGGAACUGAGAUACGGUCCAGACUCC
rnacentral:rRNA from 1 species